rnacentral:rRNA from 1 species
AGUGAACGCUGGCGGUAGGCCUAACACAUGCAAGUCGAACGGCAGCACAGUAAGAGCUUGCUCUUACGGGUGGCGAGUGGCGGACGGGUGAGGAAUACAUCGGAAUCUACUUUUUCGUGGGGGAUAACGUAGGGAAACUUACGCUAAUACCGCAUACGACCUACGGGUGAAAGCAGGGGAUCUUCGGACCUUGCGCGAUUGAAUGAGCCGAUGUCGGAUUAGCUAGUUGGCGGGGUAAAGGCCCACCAAGGCGACGAUCCGUAGCUGGUCUGAGGGGAUGAUCAGCCACACUGGAACUGAGACACGGUCCAGACUCCUACGGAGGCAGCAGUGGGGAAUAUUGGACAAUGGGCGCAAGCCUGAUCCAGCCAUACCGCGUGGGUGAAGAAGGCCUUCGGGUUGUAAAGCCCUUUUGUUGGGAAAGAAAAGCAGCAGGUUAAUACCCCGCUGUUCUGACGGUACCCAAAGAAUAAGCACCGGCUAACUUCGUG